AACGUAGGACACAAGCGUUAUCCGGAGUUACUGGGCGUAAAGGGCGUGUAGGCGGAUUGGUAAGUCUACUCUGAAAGCUUCUGGCUAAACUGGAAGAGGCGAGUGGAGACUGUCAGUCUAGAGUGAGGAAGAGGAAAGUGGAAUUCCGCGUGUAGUGGUGAAAUGCGUAGAGAUGCGGAGGAACACCAGUGGCGAAAGCGGCUCUCUGGACCACAACUGACGCUGAGGCGCGAAAGCUAGGGGAGCAAACAGG
rnacentral:rRNA from 1 species